UAUAUGGGAUGUAAAAACACAAUUCGGUUGGUAGUCCGGAUGCAUUAAUAAAUUAAUGUCAGUGACCUUCCCCUCCUCGGGAUGUCCAUCAUUUCAUAGUAUGUU
rnacentral:ncRNA from 2 species